ensembl:lncRNA
CUUGUAUUGACCAUCGAAGACAGUGGUACUCGUUACAGUAAGAUUCUCCAUUUCUUCAUUAUAUAUUUACCUCGUAGAAGCUUCAUCAGCUCAGUGGUUCGGUCAACUUGGUGCUUGCAGAAGGACGGUGGUUGGCUGGUGAUCAGAGUUCACUGAGAGUUUGCACUGAGCAGCUAUGAAUAAUGUGGCAAUAAUGAGUAUUGUAUCAGCUCACUCUGUCGGUCCUUUUUGCUUUUAGAGGCUAAACUUGUCCCUCGCUUCUCUUUGUCCUCAUGCACAUCUAUUGGCAACUAAACGUACUGUGAAACCUGCACGUGAUAACGAUAAGCUAUAUUUAAGAAUGAAGUUAAACACAAUGAAUGCAAUGUAAUACGCCCUUUAAUGCAAACUGACACCCCUAAUAUGAAGACCUCAGCAACUAUACAAUAUCAUUCAGUUUGUUUCGAAAGCUUUUUGUUGACGAUGGUGCGCUAGAUUGUGAUAUUUUGUACAGGCUUUGCCUUUUCUUGUGAAACUCUGCCCACCUUUGUUUUAGUUUGUUCUCAACACAACAAGUGUCACUAUAUUGAUAGCCCAUAGCUGAAUAUGUCUGUAAAGUAUGAACAGUAUUAUUUGCUAUUUAAUUUAACAUCAUCUGUGUCGAUAUAAAGGCUACAGUCAAUUAAUAUUAUUAAUUUGUGCGUUCAAAUGCUUGUCAUAAUGUCCCAGUUGGUUUGUUGGGAAGUCUUUUUUUCCAACUGAAGUGUCAUCACGUGCUUUGAUGUAGGAAUGUAGGAGCUUUAAACUAAAAAAAAUGAUGCUUUACAUGACUUUUUAUCAGGAUAACUGAUAAAGUUUAAAAAAAAGACUCUUUGUAGACACCAAUUUGUGGUUGUAGCAUAAGAUCAUAUUGCAAAUGAGAUGAAGGAAGAAAAAAGUUUAUAUGCAACAUGCUAAAUUAUACCCAAAUUUUAUUUUUUUUUUUGUCAGGAAUCAUUAUGAUCCUUACUUUCCUCACUUUUCUUUCGUCUUAAUUUCUCUUUUCAUCCAAAUCACAAUAAUGACACUUGUUUGUCUGAGAACAACCUGAAAGGCUCUCCGAGUUCAUUCUUAGUGGCAACAAUAGUGGAAAAUUAUAUAUCUCACUGACCACCAGAUGCAGCUUUCGGAUGUUUUGUAGUUUUAUUGGUCUUUAGCUCAUUUUUAAUGAAGGUGCUAAUAUUCAGACAGGCACUGUGUACAAACAUACUCCCAUUAAGGAGUACAGACUAAGUUAAUAAAUCUGUAUAUUCCAAAAGUAAUGGUAGUCUUUUGGAGCAUAAUAUCUAUCAGUGAUAAACCAGUUGCCAAAUUACUCAAUUAGGAUAAAAGUGAUAGAGUUAUGAACAUAUUAUUUCCUGUCCUGAUGACCUGAGCAGGUUAGAUGGAACAUGUUACCAUAUGAUCAAAACAGUAUACUAAUAAUAAAUGAAACAGCUGCUCUUAGGGUUUUAGUAAGACACAUAUUGUCCCUCGUGAACACUUAAAGUAGUCUUUAAAGUGUCAAGUGCCAUUAGCUUCUGCCCAAACAAUUAUAAAGCAUAAAGCCAAGCUGCCAGUAACUAUUGACGAUUCCCACAGGAACACUCCUGAUUCACUGUAAUGUAAUGCAUAGAUAAUUAUAACCAUAUACAUUAGAGAAUACAAUUCCCACGAUGCACUUCCUCACUUGUUAACCAGCUUUUCUGUCCCCGGCUGAAAUGAGGGAUUCAUCACCUCUGUACAGUAGCAAGCCAAAGCAUUAUUGUCUUUUUAAUACACGUUAUGAAAGCUGCUGUAUUAGGCAGACAUGACUGCUGUUUCCACAUAAAUACAGAUUUUAAUGGUGAGCAUACCCUUUCUGCUCUGUAUCCACUAAACCUAACAACAAAACAUGCUGGAAAUCUUUUAUCUUCUUUUGUUCGCUCAAUAGAGGCAUUGAUCGAUCAUUAGUUCUGUGAAGUCUCACUCUGAGAUAAAAACAAGUCUAAAAAGUGAAAGGAUUUUUUUUUUCUUUUUCUAUUUUUUUGUACUAAUUUGAGGAGAGUGUUUCUGUAAAUGGCUGCAAUCCAGCUCGACCAAAACAGGAAAACUGACCCUCCCUCCUGAUCAGAGUUCAUUUACACACCUCCAUGCUCUUUGAAGACUUGAUAGCAGAUUAAUUGUUUCCCAACUUCCCCCCCCCCCCCCCCCCUUCUCCCAAAUUAAUAUAAGAAAAUAAAAGAAAAUGCUUAAUUUAUUUCCAGACUUCUAAAACGGUUCGACUACAUCCAAUUAACUCUAAUUGUCUCCUAAGCUGAAAUUCUCAGUAGAAAUGGAGCAAUUAAAUUUCUGCUUUGGCUCUACCUUGGGGACGAGAGACGUUUUACUUUGGUUGAUGGUGGGAAGGGUUUGUCUAAACCUUUACAAAGACGAUUUCAUGAGUCUCUGUAAUAGUUUCAUAACAGAGCGAUCACUGGGCUAUGCAAGGCAAAUAUGGCCACCCUAUGUUCCUUGUGUUGUGGAGCAUCAGACUGACAUUUAUUUGUUCUUUGUUUACAUUGUGGACAUGCUGUACAAAUGUAUUAUGUGCAUAUUUCACUAUACUACGACUGCUGUUCGUUACUAUAACUAUGAUCCUUUGAUUUGCCAAUUUAGGGAGUUUUUCAUGUUGGAUUAGCAACAAAAUUUAGAGCCCACUGAAAACCUGUAUAAUACAAGUCACUGUAUUGAGUCAAUGGGUAAUUAUUUAAGUAAGUCUUUGGUGAGAUAUUGUCUUAUUUUCUGUUUUUUUUUUUUUCUUCUGUAUCUUUGUGUAUCUCAAUGCUGAAACACACACACACACACACUGCGUUACCAUCGAUUUUGCUUAUCGGCACAGCAGGACAUAUAGUGAGUAAAGUCGUCUAGACCCUAUACCUCAAUUCAUAUUUUUUGAAAAUUACACUGGGUUUGGAAGCGGGCCAUGGGUUCCUCUUGGGAAUCUGUGGCACAGAAAUAAAGUGACAUCACUGGCUGGGUAUUAAAAAAAUGUAGAUGAACUUACGGCGGUUGGGGAACACAUUCCUCGGAGGAGAAAGCUGCUUAUUCGCUGUUCCAUUUGCGGACUUUACCUUAACUCCGCGCACGCUGAGAUGACGAGAUUUACAUAAAACAUGGAGGAACCUCCCUGGCCGUUCUGGUCCACGGUGUAUAAAGGACCCUGCUAGGUGUAUGUACCACAGACAUGUGAUUACCCAAGAGGAUUAACCCUCCCCUUCUCAAAAGCAAUAUGUUAGCAUUUGUAAUAUAUGAAUCAAGAUAAAAGGGAGCUUUGGUUCAUUUUGAUUAUACACUUAUGCUUGGGAAAGGACAGGCUAACUAUGCACGCACAGUCCUGGGAAGACAAAGGGAAAAUAUUGGAAGUUAGAAGCAACUACAGCUGGGUUUCACUGGACAGUAUUGUGUGGCAUUUUCUUGUGUUUCGUUUGUUGUGUUCAUGCCUACUGUAUCCAUGUGUAAAUAUAUGCUUUUUUUUUCUUUUUCUUCUUUUUUUUUGGAGUGAGUCAAAUCUAACAGUGCACUGAAUGUACAGUGACAAUAAAAUCACAUGGUUUAUGUAACAGCUG